GUCUACAGCCAUGUCACUCUGAACGUGCCCAAUCUCGUCUUAUCUUGGAAGCUAAGCAGGGUCAGGCCUGCUUAGUACUUGGAUAGGAGACCACCUAGGAAUACCAGGUGAUGUAGGUG
rnacentral:rRNA from 1 species